AGAGUUUGAUCCUGGCUCAGGAUGAACGCUAGCGACAGGCUUAACACAUGCAAGUCGAGGGGCAGCACGGUGUAGCAAUACACUGGUGGCGACCGGCGCACGGGUGAGUAACACGUGUGCAACCAACCCCGUACCGGGAGAUAACCCGCGGAAACGUGGACUAACAUCCCAUAACACUGGAGGAUCGCAUGAUCUUUCAUUUAAAAUUCCGGUGGUACGGGACGGGCACGCGCGACAUUAGGUAGUUGGCGGGGUAACGGCCCACCAAGCCGACGAUGUCUAGGGGUUCUGAGAGGAAGGUCCCCCACACUGGAACUGAGACACGGUCCAGACUCCUACGGGAGGCAGCAGUGAGGAAUAUUGGUCAAUGGGCGAGAGCCUGAACCAGCCAAGUCGCGUGAGGGAAGAAUGGUCUAUGGCCUGUAAACCUCUUUUGCCAGGGAAGAAUAAAAGGUACGUGUACCUUCUUGCCAGUACCUGACGAAUAAGCAUCGGCUAACUCCGUGCCAGCAGCCGCGGUAAUACGGGGGAUGCGAGCGUUAUCCGGAUUUAUUGGGUUUAAAGGGCGCGUAGGCGGGACGCCAAGUCAGCGGUAAAAGACUGCAGCUAAACUGUAGCACGCCGUUGAAACUGGCGACCUGGAGACGAGACGAGGGAGGCGGAACAAGUGAAGUAGCGGUGAAAUGCUUAGAUAUCACUUGGAACCCCGAUAGCGAAGGCAGCUUCCCAGGCUCGAUCUGACGCUGAUGCGCGAGAGCGUGGGUAGCGAACAGGAUUAGAUACCCUGGUAGUCCACGCCGUAAACGAUGCUCACUGGAUCUUGGCGAUACACUGCCAGGGUUCAAGCGAAAGUAUUAAGUGAGCCACCUGGGGAGUACGUCGGCAACGAUGAAACUCAAAGGAAUUGACGGGGGCCCGCACAAGCGGAGGAACAUGUG
rnacentral:rRNA from 1 species